CACACACACGCAGCAGCACAACGCCGGCAGCGCCAUCCUCGACGUCCUUCAACAUUCCGCCGCGUUCAUACGGAGAGCUACGUGUUUUGAUUAAGGGAAGUGAACUAUCUCCGACUACCAAAAAGAUGUUUUGAAAGACGAGUGAGUUACGAUGGUUAGGGUUGCG